AUUGAACGCUGGCGGCAUGCCUUACACAUGCAAGUCGAACGGUAACGCGGGGCAACCUGGCGACGAGUGGCGAACGGGUGAGUAAUACAUCGGAACGUGCCCAGUAGUGGGGGAUAGCCCGGCGAAAGCCGGAUUAAUACCGCAUACGACCUACGGGUGAAAGCGGGGGACCGCAAGGCCUCGCGCUAUUGGAGCGGCCGAUGUCAGAUUAGGUAGUUGGCGGGGUAAAGGCCUACCAAGCCGACGAUCUGUAGCUGGUCUGAGAGGACGACCAGCCACACUGGGACUGAGACACGGCCCAGACUCCUACGGGAGGCAGCAGUGGGGAAUUUUGGACAAUGGGCGCAAGCCUGAUCCAGCCAUGCCGCGUGCGGGAAGAAGGCCUUCGGGUUGUAAACCGCUUUUGUCAGGGAAGAAAAGCUUUGGGCUAAUACCCCGGGGUCAUGACGGUACCUGAAGAAUAAGCACCGGCUAACUACGUGCCAGCAGCCGCGGUAAUACGUAGGGUGCAAGCGUUAAUCGGAAUUACUGGGCGUAAAGCGUGCGCAGGCGGUCUUGCAAGACAGAUGUGAAAUCCCCGGGCUCAACCUGAGAACUGCAUUUGUGGCUGCAAGGCUGGAGUGCGGCAGAGGGGGAUGGAAUUCCGCGUGUAGCAGUGAAAUGCGUAGAUAUGCGGAGGAACACCGAUGGCGAAGGCAAUCCCCUGGGCCUGCACUGACGCUCAUGCACGAAAGCGUGGGGAGCAAACAGGA
rnacentral:rRNA from 1 species